UACGUAGGGUGCGAGCGUUGUCCGGAAUUACUGGGCGUAAAGAGCUCGUAGGCGGUCUGUUGCGUCGGCUGUGAAAACCCGGGGCUCAACCCCGGGCCUGCAGCCGAUACGGGCAGACUAGAGUUCGGCAGGGGAGACUGGAAUUCCUGGUGUAGCGGUGAAAUGCGCAGAUAUCAGGAGGAACACCGGUGGCGAAGGCGGUUGGCUGGGCAGGUGCUGACACUGAGGCGCGACAGCGUGGGGAGCAAACAGG
rnacentral:rRNA from 1 species